UUAGUUAGUUGGUAGGGUAACGGCUUACCAAGGCGACGAUGGAUAGCUGGUUUGAGAGAGCGAUCAGCCACACUGGGACUGAGAUACGGCCCAGACUCCUACGGGAGGCAGCAGUGAGGAAUAUUGCGCAAUGGGCGAAAGCCUGACGCAGCAACGCCGCGUGGGGGAUGAAGCUUUAUGGAGUGUAAACCCCUGUAAGUAGGGACGAAAGUUACCCAUACGAAUAGGAUGGGUAUUUGACGGUACCUACAGAGUAAGCUCCGGCUAACUCCGUGCCAGCAGCCGCGGUAAUACGGGGGGAGCAAGCGUUGUCCGGAAUUACUGGGCGUAAAGGGCGUGUAGGCGGUAUUGUAAGUCAGAUGUAAAAGGCUACGGCUUAACCGUAGAUUGUCAUUUGAAACUGCAGUACUUGAGUGCGAGAGAGGGUAGUGGAAUUCCCAGUGUAGCGGUGAAAUGCGUAGAUAUUGGGAAGAACACCAGUAGCGAAGGCGGCUACCUGGCUCGUAACUGACGCUAAUGCGCGAAAGCGUGGGGAGCGAACAGGAUUAGAUACCCUGGUAGUCCACGCCGUAAACGAUGAACACUAGGUGUUGGUCCCGACGUGUCGGGAUCGGUGCCGCAGCAAACGCAUUAAGUGUUCCGCCUGGGGAGUACGAUCGCAAGGUUGAAACUCAAAGGAAUUGACGGGGGCCCGCACAAGCGGUGGAGCAUGUGGUUUAAUUCGAUUCAACGCGAAGAACCUUACCGGGGUUUGACAUAUUAGUGAAGUAUGCAGAGAUGUAUACGCCUUUCGGGGCGCUAUUACAGGUGCUGCAUGGCUGUCGUCAGCUCGUGUCGUGAGAUGUUGGGUAAGUCCCGCAACGAGCGCAACCCUUGCCCCUAGUUGCCAGCAAGUAAUGUUGGGGACUCUAGGGGGACUGCCGGUGAUAAACUGGAGGAAGGUGGGGAUGACGUCAAGUCCUCAUGGCCCUUACAUCCCGGGCUACACACGUGCUACAAUGGCCGGUACAACGGGUUGCGAUACUGUGAAGUGGAGCCAAUCCCUAAAAACCGGUCUUAGUUCGGAUUGCAGUCUGCAACUCGACUGCAUGAAGUCGGAAUCGCUAGUAAUCGCGGAUCAGCUCGCCGCGGUGAAUACGUUCCCGGGCCUUGUACACACCGCCCGUCACGCCAUGGAAGUCGGCAGUACCCGAAGCCGGUGUCC
rnacentral:rRNA from 1 species